rnacentral:rRNA from 1 species
UUCCUACGGGAGGCAGCAGUGGGGAAUAUUGCACAAUGGGGGAAACCCUGAUGCAGCAACGCCGCGUGAAGGAAGACGGUUUUAGGAUUGUAAACUCCUUUUGUUAGAGAAGAUUAUGACGGUAUCUAACGAAAAAGCACCGGCUAACUCCGUGCCAGCAGCCGCGGUAAUACGGAGGGUGCAAGCGUUACUCGGAAUCACUGGGCGUAAAGAGUGCGUAGGCGGGGUAAU